rnacentral:rRNA from 1 species
UAGGGAAUCUUCCGCAAUGGACGCAAGUCUGACGGAGCAACGCCGCGUGAGUGAAGAAGGAUUUCGGUUCGUAAAACUCUGUUGUUAGAGAAGAACAGCGCAGAGAGUAACUGUUAUGCGUGUGACGGUAUCUAACCAGAAAGCCACGGCUAACUACGUGCCAGCAGCCGCGGUAAUACGUAGGUGGCAAGCGUUGUCCGGAUUUAUUGGGCGUAAAGCGAGCGCAGGCGGUCAAUUAAGUCUGAUGUGAAAGCCCCCGGCUCAACCGGGGAGGGUCAUUGGAAACUGGUUGACUUGAGUGCAGAAGAGGAGAGUGGAAUUCCAUGUGUAGCGGUGAAAUGCGUAGAUAUAUGGAGGAACACCAGUGGCGAAGGCGACUCUCUGGUCUGUAACUGACGCUGAGGUUCGAAAGCGUGGGUAGCAAACAGG